UGUUGGGUGAUACUGACUGACAAACUCGGGUAAACAUAUCUGCAGAUACCUGUCAGCUACUGUACUUCUAAUCCAGAGGUGCCCAAAGUUGGCCCACAAUAGAUCUUUAAUUUGGCCCAUCAUGCCACAUGAGAUAAGGAAAAAGAACAAAAGUCAUUGACGCAGAUGUUCAUAUUUUUAAUUAAACAUUUUCUAAAAUGUAUCAUUUUUUUGUUGUAUUUUUACAUUACAAAAAUGUAAAUUAAUAUUAAAUGCAAGGGAUUAAAGUGAAUUUUUUUAUGUUUCAUGCAUACUUGAAGGUGUAUAAAAUGCAUCACAAAACUUAAUGAACUCGGGUACUACAGGCUAAAAAUGAAGAGGUUUUGGCAGUGGCACACAGAGAAAAGGAUAUUUUAAAUUGAUUGGCAAAAUGAUUUUUUUUACAAAAAGCCUUGGAAAAUAAAACUGCAUUAGUUAUGCAUAAACAGAGUAAUGUUUGCUUAUUUAUUUUUAAAAUAUUAGAAAAUUAUAAAUUAGGGUUUAUCAGAGCAACUUUAAUUUUAUUAUAACACAACAACAUUUACUUUUGGGCCACGGCCCUCAGUCAGGUUUGGCCCUUGUAAGGAAAAUGUUCGGGCACCAAUCAAUGUGUAGUUUAUCUGAGGAGGUAACUGUUUAGCAUAUGAUAAUGCAUGCUUGUACAAAGUCAGUCCACAUAUUAUAAUGUUUGUCUUCAAUCAAUCAAUUUAAAUAAAUGAGAUGGGGACUUUAUAAUAUAAUAAGGGUCCAUAUAUCACAGUGAUAAAAGACAUACAUGUAUUUUUACUUUAACAUGAACUAAUGCUGAGUUAAGGCAUAUACUAUCAUAAACUAAGAGUCAUCAUUAAGAUGACAUGUUUUUCAUUGUUAGUUAAUGCAUUCAUUUACAAUGAAUUAAUUUGAGUUCAUGUUGUAAUUAAGUAAGUUCAGUAAGUUACAUGUCUUAACUCAGCAUUAGUUUUGUAUUUACUUAUAUUUAAGUAAGAAUUCAUUUAGGUAUAUGUUCAAUGUUUCCAAUGAUGAGCAGUUAAUCCACUAAACCCAAAGAUAAUUCCUGAGGCAUGUUUAAAGAGUUUUGUAUUUCAUCAAAGAUUUUAUAUUUAAGAAAAUCUGAGCAUCAUUCAAAAUAACUGUUAACAUGUUUGUCAACUAAACAUGUUUUGUCAACGUUAUAAACUUUAUAUAAAUAUUUUUUAUUAAUGACCAAGUAUAAAGAACCAUGCAUAGCGUGAAAACGCGGAUUAUAUAAAAGUAUAUAAUAAAGUGCGAGCAGAGGAUCAAUCAAACUUGGGCUGGAAUGAUUGUAGUGCAUCCAAUGCACCUUGGAAUUCGUAGUUUACAUCUACAGCAGCAUAUGCUACAGCAGUGACAACGCCAAAGAAAAGGACUACAUUUCCCAGAAUGCACCUGCACCCACUCAUCUGCCCCCACUCUUCAGGUGCGACUGCUUGACCUAUGGGCUUGACGGGAAAAUUCAAAAUCGCGAACCGUUACAGCGGUCGUUUGUUUGCUCAUCAACAGUAAGAGAAAUAAUGAAGUAACAGUGGAAGCUAAAACAUCAGACUGAUCCAGACACUGAAGAAAUUGAUGUCACUGCAAUCUGGCCAAAAUGAUAGAAAUAAUGAAGUAACAGUGGAAGCUAAAACAUCAGACUGAUCCAGACACUGAAGAAAUUGAUGUCACUGCAAUCUGGCCAAAAUGAUAGAAAUAUAAUGAAGUAACAGUGGAAGCUAAAACAUCAAACUGAUCCAGACACUGAAGAAAUUGAUGUCACUGCAAUCUGGCCAAAAUGAUACAACUAUAUUGAAGUAGCCUACUGUAAUGAAGCUGCAGAACGUCACAGAGACUCUGAGGACAUCAACACAGAAUAUCAAGGCUCCCAAGAGAUGUCUGUCCAGAUGAGGGUGCAUCAACGUUACCUUUGCUGACAAGUAUAUGCUUUACAAUGUAAAACCUAACAGUUAACUUAACUCAAACCAUUUAAGGAAAUUGGUUGCCUUAAAUCAUUAAGUUUUAAAAAAACAUACAUUUGAGUACUGUGAACUUAAGUCUUGUGCAAUUAUGCACUUAUAUUUAGGUAGUGUGAACUUAAAUAUAAGUGCUUAACUGCAUGUGACUCAAUUUGUUUAAGUUCACAGUACUCAAAUCUAUGUGUUUUAAAACUUGAAUGGUUUAAUGCAACCGGUUUUCUUAAAUGUGAGAAAUUACAGUGUUACAGUUAGAAAUGUUUGAAUAAUUCCAAGACAGAGCUCUGUGAUUGAUUCUACACUGCAAAAAUCACUUUCUAACACUUUUUAUCUUGUUUUCAGUAGAAAAACUAAAAAUUCUUAAAUCAAGAUGUAUUUUCUUGAUGAGCAAAAUUACCUUAGAAAAUAUGUCUAGUUUUUAGACAAAAAUAUACAAUUUAAGAUAAUUUGUGCCUAAACAAGAAAAAAUAUCUAACAAUUGGGUGAGAAAAUUGUGUUUUAAUUAAGUUUUUAAGAAAAAAGAAAACUUAAGAUUUUUUUCUCACACUAUUGGCAGAUAUUUUUGCUUGUUUUAAGCACAAAUUCACUAAAUACACAGACACACACACAUUAUUUAUUUGGUCUAAAACUAGACUUAUUUUCUUGGGUCAUUUUGUUCCUCAAGAAAAAGCAUUUUAAUUUAAAUAAUAUUUCUACAGAAAACAAGACAAAAAUACUAUGUAAGAAAGUCAUUUUUUGCAGUGUAGGACUAAUUUCUUUAGAUUAUUUAGAUAUUUACUACAUUACAGUGGCAGCUGGUGACUUCUUUUUUUUGUGAGCACUCAAUGCGAAGUUUGUCACAACAUGUAUAUAGCCCGUCAUUUGUGUGGUUCCCAAUUUCAAAAUAUGUGUUCUGUGUGUCGAGUGCGUGUAUGUGCAUCACGUGUUUUGACUAAACACGUGAUGCACGUGGUUUACAUGAAGCAACAAACACAUAUUUUAAAAACACAAGCAACACGCAUGACACUCUGAACACUUAUUUUGAAUUUGCAACCCUCGGAUGAGCAGUCACGAGCCGCCACUGCUACAUUGCAUUGUACUGCUUUGAAUGUAGUUUUCAUUGUUGCUUUUAUUUUGUUUUAUUUUACUCUAAUAUUGCUUUCUCUGUCUGUAUAUUUAUGAGUUUAAAUGGUAUUGUUUAUGUAUGCAACUUUUAAUAUUUGUGUAUUAUAUUAUUUUGUGAUUGUGACAAUUGUGGAUUGUUCAGUUUUUUAGUAAAUAAACAUUUCAAACUCAAGUUUUUUUUUUUUAAGGGUUUUGGGGAUGUAUAGUAGUAUAUAGUGGGGGGGGUGUAGUCUAUCUGCAUAGCAGGCAAAUAACCAAUCAAGUCACUAAGCUAUGAGGGCUUGGGUUGGGCUUAAAACAAAGUGUAACCAAUCAAAUUAUCUCAACUGGAAAGUUUCAAAGUUGUGUCCCAAUAGUUGUCAGAGUUUUGGGAGGGGGUUUUAAAAGCAACCAAUCAGUGUUGAGAUUAAACACCAAUGGGGACACUAGAAUUGUGCAAAGGUGUGAAAUUCCAGUACCUCUGUAGGUGUGAAAGUGGCCCCUGCCAAAAUCUUCAAUGGGAUUACUUGCCAUGGCAACAAAUGGCUGCAUAUUCCACGGUGAUAUCCCCUCAGCAAGAUACAUCCGAAUUGGUAUCAUUACGGGAGUUUCCUAACUUGGUGGAAUUAGUAGUUUACCCUCAGUGGAACUAGUAGAUACUUCCGAAAAUCAGUAGUGUUUACAGGAGUUUCCUAGUACGGAUACACCUCUUUUCA